rfam:Capsicum annuum cultivar Zunla-1 chromosome 7, whole genome shotgun sequence
AAUAACCAAAUAUGAUACUCAGACUAAGGGUCAAGUUGGUAAUUUUUCUUACAUGUCUCCCUAUCGGAGACCAGGUAUCAUAUACUCCCCAAAAAUAAAGAGACUUGAAUGCUAUAGGAAAAGCACCUAUACCUAAUAAGAUUAAGUGAAUACCUAAAAUUGUGGUUAUUUCAUUUUAAUCUUUCAA